AGUGAACGCUGGCGGUAGGCCUAACACAUGCAAGUCGAACGGCAGCACAGUAAGAGCUUGCUCUUACGGGUGGCGAGUGGCGGACGGGUGAGGAAUACAUCGGAAUCUACUUUUUCGUGGGGGAUAACGUAGGGAAACUUACGCUAAUACCGCAUACGACCUACGGGUGAAAGCAGGGGAUCUUCGGACCUUGCGCGAUUGAAUGAGCCGAUGUCGGAUUAGCUAGUUGGCGGGGUAAAGGCCCACCAAGGCGACGAUCCGUAGCUGGUCUGAGAGGAUGAUCAGCCACACUGGAACUGAGAGACGGUCCAGACUCCUACAGGAAGCAGCAGUGGGGAAUAUUGGACAAUGGGCGCAAGCCUGAUCCAGCCAUACCGCGUGGGUGAAGAAGGCCUUCGGGUUGUAAAGCCCUUUUGUUGGGAAAGAAAAGCAGCAGGUUAAUGCCCCGCGGUUCUGACGGUACCCAAAGAAUAAGCACCGGCUAACUUCGUG
rnacentral:rRNA from 1 species